rnacentral:rRNA from 1 species
UAGGGAAUAUUAGUAAUGGGCGAAAGCCUGAACUAGCAACGCCGCGUGUGCGAAGAAGGCCUUCGGGUUGUAAAGCACUUUUUGAGAGGAUGAGGAAGGACGGUACUCUCAGAAUAAGUCUCGGCUAACUACGUGCCAGCAGCCGCGGUAACACGUAGGAGGCGAACGUUAUCCGGAUUUACUGGGCGUAAAGCGCGUGUAGGUGGUUUGGUAAGUAGGGCGUGAAAGCUCCUGGCUCAACUGGGAGAGGCCGUUCUAAACUGCCGAAGUUGAGGGUGGUAGAAGGAGGUGGAAUUACGGGUGUAGCGGUGGAAUGCGCAGAUAUCCGGAGGAA